CUCUCGACAUUAUUGAUUGCAUCUGUUUUGACAUGUAGCCUUUUUUAACCAUGAUUUGAACUUCUCUCAUUUCCAGAGAAGAUUAGAGAAGCUUCUGCACAGCGAUCGUUUCGUCAAAAAGGACUUUGCUGUUGUUCUGCAACCUUAUUUAGAGAACGCAGGACCACCGAGACUUCCUGACGGGACUUUUGACUUGAGCUUCUUCACCGAAGAUUGUUUCCACUUCACUGUUAAGGGGCAUGAGGAGCUGGCAAAGGGACUGUGGAACAACAUGCCUGAGGGAGGUAAAGAAAUGAUAAAGACAUUUUCAGAGCCAGUAAAACUCAUCUGCCCGACAAAGG